UCACAAACGACUCUCGGCAACGGAUAUCUCGGCUCACGCAUCGAUGAAGAACGUAGCAAAAUGCGAUACUUGGUGUGAAUUGCAGAAUCCCGUGAACCAUCGAGUUUUUGAACGCAAGUUGCGCCCGAAGCCAUUCGGUCGAGGGCACGUCUGCCUGGGCGUCACGC
rnacentral:rRNA from 1 species